rnacentral:rRNA from 1 species
AGAGUUUGAUCAUGGCUCAGAUUGAACGCUGGCGGCAGGCCUAACACAUGCAAGUCGAGCGGUAGCACAAGAGAGCUUGCUCUCUGGGUGACGAGCGGCGGACGGGUGAGUAAUGUCUGGGAAACUGCCUGAUGGCGGGGGAUAACUAGUGGAAACGGUAGCUAAUACCGCAUAACGUCGCAAGACCAAAGUGGGGGACCUUCGGGCCUCACGCCAUCAGAUGUGCCCAGGUGGGAUUAGCUGGUAGGUGGGGUAACGGCUCACCUAGGCGACGAUCCCUAGCUGGUCUGAGAGGAUGACCAGCCACACUGGAACUGAGACACGGUCCAGACUCCUACGGGAGGCAGCAGUGGGGAAUAUUGCACAAUGGGCGCAAGCCUGAUGCAGCC